rnacentral:rRNA from 1 species
CACAUGCAAGUCGAACGGCAGCACGGGAGCAAUCCUGGUGGCGAGUGGCGAACGGGUGAGUAAUAUAUCGGAACGUGCCCAGUCGUGGGGGAUAACGCAGCGAAAGCUGUGCUAACACCGCAUACGAUCUAUGGAUGAAAGCGGGGGAUCGCAAGACCUCGCGCGAUUGGAGCGGCCGAUAUCAGAUUAGCUAGUUGGUGGGGUAAAAGCCCACCAAGGCGACGAUCUGUAGCUGGUCUGAGAGGACGACCAGCCACACUGGAACUGAGACACGGUCCAGACUCCUACGGGAGGCAGCAGUGGGGAAUUUUGGACAAUGGGCGAAAGCCUGAUCCAGCAAUGCCGCGUGCAGGACGAAGGCCUUCCGGGUUGUAAACUGCUUUUGUACGGAGCGAAACGGCCUCUUCUAAUACAAGAGGGCUAAUGACGGUACCCGAAGAAUAAAGCACCNGCUAACUACG